UCUCUGGUGGUCCAGAGGUUAGGAUUCCGAGUUUCCACUGCGGGGGCCGAGGUUCAAUCCCUGGUUGGGGAA
rnacentral:tRNA from 1 species